UUUUGGAGUGAAAAAUGCAAGGAAAUAAAAAUAAAAAAAAAAAAAAAAAAAAAAUUUUUAUAGGGUUUUUUAACCCCUCUCAGAUUGAACGCUGGCGGCAGGCCUAACACAUGCAAGUCGAGCGGCAGCACGGGUACUUGUACCUGGUGGCGAGCGGCGGACGGGUGAGUAAUACCUAGGAAUCUGCCUGGUAGUGGGGGAUAACGUCCGGAAACGGACGCUAAUACCGCAUACGUCCUACGGGAGAAAGCAGGGGACCUUCGGGCCUUGCGCUAUCAGAUGAGCCUAGGUCGGAUUAGCUAGUUGGUGAGGUAAUGGCUCACCAAGGCUACGAUCCGUAACUGGUCUGAGAGGAUGAUCAGUCACACUGGAACUGAGACACGGUCCAGACUCCUACGGGAGGCAGCAGUGGGGAAUAUUGGACAAUGGGCGAAAGCCUGAUCCAGCCAUGCCGCGUGUGUGAAGAAGGUCUUCGGAUUGUAAAGCACUUUAAGUUGGGAGGAAGGGCCGUUACCUAAUACGUGAUGGUUUUGACGUUACCGACAGAAUAAGCACCGGCUAACUCUGUGCCAGCAGCCGCGGUAAUACAGAGGGUGCAAGCGUUAAUCGGAAUUACUGGGCGUAAAGCGCGCGUAGGUGGUUCGUUAAGUUGGAUGUGAAAUCCCCGGGCUCAACCUGGGAACUGCAUUCAAAACUGUCGAGCUAGAGUAUGGUAGAGGGUGGUGGAAUUUCCUGUGUAGCGGUGAAAUGCGUAGAUAUAGGAAGGAACACCAGUGGCGAAGGCGACCACCUGGACUGAUACUGACACUGAGGUGCGAAAGCGUGGGGAGCAAACAGGAUUAGAUACCCUGGUAGUCCACGCCGUAAACGAUGUCAACUAGCCGUUGGGAGCCUUGAGCUCUUAGUGGCGCAGCUAACGCAUUAAGUGACCGCCUGGAGACGCAAAUGG
rnacentral:rRNA from 1 species